rnacentral:rRNA from 1 species
UACGAAGGGGGCAAGCGUUGUUCGGAAUUACUGGGCGUAAAGGGCGCGUAGGCGGUGCGCUAAGUUAGAUGUGAAAGCCCUGGGCUCAACCCGGGAAUUGCAUUUGAUACUGGCGCGCUCGAAUCCGGGAGAGGUUGGUGGAAUUCCCAGUGUAGAGGUGAAAUUCGUAGAGAUUGGGAAGAACACCGGUGGCGAAGGCGGCCAACUGGACCGGUAUUGACGCUGAGGCGCGAAAGCGUGGGGAGCAAACAGG